GUGCUCACUUUGACACACAUAUACUAAAAUUGGAAUGAUACAGAGAAGAUUAUCAUGGCUCCUGCACAAAUUUGACACACAAAUUCAUGAAGCACUCUGUACUUUU
rnacentral:snRNA from 1 species